rnacentral:lncRNA from 1 species
UUUCAACCAAAGACUCACAUCCAGUUCUCAAAAGUUUCCAUGGAACACUGGUAGUGGGAGGCUUGACGGGAAGCCGUAGUGAUCUGGAGAGCCGCGACAGCCAGUGAGCUGCAAAAAGAGCACCUUGGGGAAGAGUUAAAGAGAUGCCAUGUGACACACAGAAGGAGAAAAAAGCCAGGAUCCAAAUAUAAUACAAGCUAACAUGGGACUUGGCUUUCAGCAAGUGACGGGAGUGUGACAGAAAAAAAGCAGUCCAUUUGACCUUGAUUCUAAGAAUGUUCUCUCUUAAAGAAUGCAAAAGUCAAGACCCUGGGCCCAGGGAAGAGGAAAUGCAGCCUUGACACGCUGCCAGGCCUGGGACUCCGCUCUCUCUCUGCCAACAAGUACUGUUCAUCACUUUCUCCCUUUCAAAAGAGACCUACAGAUACUGCACAGAAUGAAGCGCCCCUCCUGUGACAGCAUGAAAGUGAAGGGACAGCAGACACACGAGACACACCUUUCGUCGAUGCUGAGGUGUCAAGAGACACUAGCCAAAUUUUGAAGAUAAAAAGAAUCAAAGAAUGGCAUCACUAAAAACACCCAAAAAGACCCCAGGAGGGUAGAAGAGGGGUCAGCUGGAGUCUUACUUUCCACAGCAGGGAGGUAACAGAUGCUGAAGGCUGAUGUGUCAGGAGGAGGAGGAACUAGGAGCUACAGGCAGCACAGGCCGAAAGCGGUUUGCCUCCAGGAGUGGAACGUGGAGACUUGUCCUCAGUUAACCUCACAUGCACGUCAGUUUCGUUAAAGCCAAACUGGUUAUGCUGCACAAGUGGAGAAAUGAGAUCGCAUUCUCACCCAUCAAAAUAGCAGUGUUGUUAAACGGGAAGAUGUGCAUAAAGGAACCCAUGGGCCCAGCAGGAGACUCUCAUGAGGAACUCUGCAAUUUAGCUACAUUUCCCCCAUGUCUCAGACUACCCUGGUCAGAGUGCACGCCUUACCUAGGCCAGGACCUUUCUGGAAAGUCUUCCCACACCCCAGAGCUCCUAAAGUACUGGUAAGAUAGGGCAGUGUUCUGCACUGCUCAGUAACAAACACUUCCUCCCAGCUAGGCCCCCUGCUUGUCCUCAACCCCACCAUGAACAAUUAAGUAGCAGCUUCUAUUUAUUAGUACUUACUCUAUGUUCUCCUCUUUAAGUACGUCGUUAUGUCUCCGCACCAUCCUGAAAGUGUUUAUUACUGUUUUUCAGAAGACUGAGUAAUUUGCUCAAAGUCACACAAGUCCGUGGCAGAGUAAUUCAAACCAGAUUGGCCCUAUUUCAAAGUACGAACCCAACUCUUUAAAACCACAAAGAAUAUGCUUCACCACUGAGGAAGUCACUAAGACCUGUCAGAAACUCAUGACAAAUCAUUUCAAAAAUCUUUAAAAGCUAAAUAAACCCUCAGAUGAUGGAAUAAGAAACCUCAACAGAAUUAACAACUCAUGCGAGACUAAGAGAAAGUAAGUACCAGUCUUCCUGUUCAGAAAUGAUCUUAAAAGGAAACAGUUCACAACCUGAUCAGUCCUCCAAGUUUAAGAUGCUGUAGUGAGCCCUGGCCGCAGCAGUAUGUACUAUUCCACGACAGACUCACCAAAAAGAGCCAAAAAGGCGCUCUUGGAGCUUACGUAAGCAGCAAACAUAACCAUCACCACCGACUGUUUUCCACUCCAGACUGUGUAGUUUAAAAGUAGAUCCCAAUACUAUCUCAAUCUCCUUCCGCCGAUGACCACUUACAUAGUAAUAUAAUUUAAUGCUCUGUCACUAUGUCAAAACAAAAGUGAUUAGAUUGGGACAAGAACACUUCAAUUAAGCUGGACAAUUUCUCAAGCAACACGACAAAAACAACGUGAAGAAAAAGGAUUCAAGUCAGGUACCUGAAUUUUAAAACAAAUCAGUGAUCUGUGAAGAAUGAGAUUCUAGUUUAAUCUGCACUACAUGGACAACAAUUCCAGCAUAAAUAAACUGUGCCUCUCAGAUGAGAUAGUCUGCUUACUUCCAAAAAACGAACGGUCACGGAACUUGCCCAGGCAGCCUUGUUUGCUAGCAUAUACCCAUUCCUGUGACUCCCCUAGACCUCAGGUUCUAAGAUGCUGUGGUUUGAAAAGUUCUAAGUAACCUCCGAUCUGCAAAGAAGACGUGCUUUGAGUAAGAGCAGACUCCCACACUGUCUAGAGUAUGGGACAGCCUCGUGAAGCCAGGCAAAGCAUUUCUCUCCCAUCCAGAGGAAACCAUCUGCCUAGAGUUCAUGCUGCCGCCUGGGAACAGGUCCAGAAAAGUUCUAAUAGAUCAGCUCCAAAUUUUAUUAAUGUUCCCUUUUCCCAGGUAAGGAAAAACUAAUCUGAGUUUGAAUUUGAGUUAAAUUCUUCGUUACUAAGUUAUCAGCACCAAAAACCUGUCCUUAAGAUGUUCUUGGAUACAUAUUUGAGGGGGCUUUUUUUUAUUGCUGAUUACAGAUUUCAAACUUGAAAUGUGCAUUUCUUGGCAAGUUACACCAGUGAUUCUUCACUUACAUUUCCAAUAAAAGCUUAAGGAAACAGACAAAAAUACAAAGGAUGAGAGAAACACAAACAGUGAUGCCUCAAAACAAAAGGAUUUAGUAACAGAAAGAAGUCUCCACGCUCAGUGUCCGUCACAAUUUUAAAGUUCUCCCAACAAUGCAGAUGCUCAUCAUGAUCAUGUACUGAACUUAUUAAUACCUGUCCCUUGAAGCUGCAAACUGGAAAAGUCAGCCACUUACAUUUAGGAUCAUACAAACCACCUAAUUUGCUCAGGGUUCAGCUUAAAGCAACAUUUAAUAUUCAUUACAAGAUGGAAUUUGUGACAAGUUCAAAAGGAAAACUUGCUUAAGUGCAGCUGUACUCUGACGUCUACGAAACGUUCCCGGGCUUA